CUUCAUGGCGGCUGUGCGUGGGAGAUCCUUUUGGGUCUGCCGGCUUAUCUGGUGCCGGUUCGCCAACCUGCGUACAGCUGCCACCU
rnacentral:antisense_RNA from 16 species